AGAGAGACGCGACAGAAGGUUAGUUACCAGAGAGACGCGACAGAAGGUUCGUUACCAGAGAGACGCGACAGAAGGUUAGUUACCAGAGAGACGCGACAGAAGGUUAGUUACCAGAGAGACGCGACAGAAGGUUAGUUACCAGAGAGACGCGACAGAAGGUUAGUUACCAGAGAGACGCGACAGAAGGUUAGUUACCAGAGAGACGCGACAGAAGGUUAGUUACCAGAGAGACGCGACAGAAGGUUAGUUACCAGAGAGACGCGACAGAAGGUUAGUUACCAGAGAGACGCGACAGAAGGUUAGUUACCAGAGAGACGCGACAGAAGGUUAGUUACCAGAGAGACGCGACAGAAGGUUAGUUACCAGAGAGACGAGACAGAAGGUUAGUUACCAGA